AGAGUUUGAUCCUGGCUCAGGAUGAACGCUAGCUACAGGCUUAACACAUGCAAGUCGAGGGGCAGCAUUUUAGUUUGCUUGCAAACUAAAGAUGGCGACCGGCGCACGGGUGAGUAACACGUAUCCAACCUGCCGAUAACUCGGGGAUAGCCUUUCGAAAGAAAGAUUAAUAUCCGAUAGUAUAUUAAAACCGCAUGGUUUUACUAUUAAAGAAUUUCGGUUAUCGAUGGGGAUGCGUUCCAUUAGUUUGUUGGCGGGGUAACGGCCCACCAAGACUACGAUGGAUAGGGGUUCUGAGAGGAAGGUCCCCCACAUUGGAACUGAGACACGGUCCGAACUCCUACGGGAGGCAGCAGUGAGGAAUAUUGGUCAAUGGACGAGAGUCUGAACCAGCCAAGUAGCGUGAAGGAUGACUGCCCUAUGGGUUGUAAACUUCUUUUAUAUGGGAAUAAAGUAUUCCACGUGUGGGAUUUUGUAUGUACCAUAUGAAUAAGGAUCGGCUAACUCCGUGCCAGCAGCCGCGGUAAUACGGAGGAUCCGAGCGUUAUCCGGAUUUAUUGGGUUUAAAGGGAGCGUAGGUGGAUUGUUAAGUCAGUUGUGAAAGUUUGCGGCUCAACCGUAAAAUUGCAGUUGAAACUGGCAGUCUUGAGUACAGUAGAGGUGGGCGGAAUUCGUGGUGUAGCGGUGAAAUGCUUAGAUAUCACGAAGAACUCCGAUUGCGAAGGCAGCUCACUAGACUGCAACUGACACUGAUGCUCGAAAGUGUGGGUAUCAAACAGGAUUAGAUACCCUGGUAGUCCACACAGUAAACGAUGAAUACUCGCUGUUUGCGAUAUACAGUAAGCGGCCAAGCGAAAGCAUUAAGUAUUCCACCUGGGGAGUACGCCGGCAACGGUGAAACUCAAAGGAAUUGACGGGGGCCCGCACAAGCGGAGGAACAUGUGGUUUAAUUCGAUGAUACGCGAGGAACCUUACCCGGGCUUAAAUUGCAUUUGAAUAAUCUGGAAACAGGUUAGCCGCAAGGCAAAUGUGAAGGUGCUGCAUGGUUGUCGUCAGCUCGUGCCGUGAGGUGUCGGCUUAAGUGCCAUAACGAGCGCAACCCUUAUCUUUAGUUACUAACAGGUCAUGCUGAGGACUCUAGAGAGACUGCCGUCGUAAGAUGUGAGGAAGGUGGGGAUGACGUCAAAUCAGCACGGCCCUUACGUCCGGGGCUACACACGUGUUACAAUGGGGGGUACAGAAGGCAGCUACCUGGCGACAGGAUGCUAAUCCCAAAAACCUCUCUCAGUUCGGAUCGAAGUCUGCAACCCGACUUCGUGAAGCUGGAUUCGCUAGUAAUCGCGCAUCAGCCAUGGCGCGGUGAAUACGUUCCCGGGCCUUGUACACACCGCCCGUCAAGCCAUGAAAGCCGGGGGUACCUGAAGUACGUAACCGCAAGGAGCGUCCUAGGGUAAAACUGGUAAUUGGGGCUAAGUCGUAACAAGGUA
rnacentral:rRNA from 1 species